rfam:Gossypium raimondii Chr06_contig_772, whole genome shotgun sequence.
CACGUCAGUACGAUUUGCUGACGUGGACAUAAAUCGCGUCGUCUGAAGCGCGAUUUGUUGCCAUGUCAGCAAAGCGCGCUGACGUGG